ACAGAGGUCCCGAGCGUUGUUCGGAUUCAUUGGGCGUAAAGGGUGCGUAGGCGGCUUCCUAAGUUUGAUGUGAAAUCCUGGGGCUCAACCCUGGAACUGCAUUGAAUACUGGGAGGCUAGAGUACUGGAGAGGAAACUGGAAUUUACGGUGUAGCAGUGAAAUGCGUAGAGAUCGUAAGGAAGACCAGUGGCGAAGGCGAGUUUCUGGACAGUUACUGACGCUGAGGCACGAAGGCCAGGGGAGCAAACGGGA
rnacentral:rRNA from 1 species